rnacentral:rRNA from 1 species
AACAACGGGUACGGGUUGUGAGAGCAAGAGCCCGGAGAUGGAUUCUGAGACAUGAAUCCAGGCCCUACGGGGCGCAGUAGGCGCGAAAACUUUACAAUGCGGGAAACCGUGAUAAGGGGACACCGAGUGCCAGCGUCAUACGCUGGCUGUCCAGGUGUGUAAAAUACACCUGUUAGCAAGGGCCGGGCAAGACCGGUGCCAGCCGCCGCGGUAACACCGGCGGCCCGAGUGGUGAUCGUGAUUAUUGGGUCUAAAGGGUCCGUAGCCGGUUUGGUCAGUCCUCCGGGAAAUCUGGUAGCUCAACUAUUAGGCUUUCGGGGGAUACUGCCAGGCUUGGAACCGGGAGAGGUAAGAGGUACUACAGGGGUAGGAGUGAAAUCUUGUAAUCCCUGUGGGACCACCUGUGGCGAAGGCGUCUUACCAGAACGGGUUCGACGGUGAGGGACGAAAGCUGGGGGCACGAACCGGAUUAGAUACCCGGGUAGUCCCAGCCGUAAACGAUGCUCGCUAGGUGUCAGGCAUGGCGCGACCGUGUCUGGUGCCGCAG